rnacentral:lncRNA from 11 species
GGGGGACUGUGACCUUAAUUUAAAAUCAAUCAAAAAGCCUUUCAUUGACGGCAGCUGGUUGCCCUGCUCACAUGUCUAACAGUGAUGUUCUCACAAUUUCAUUAAAAAGUUGGGUGGAAAGCUUGUAUGUCAGUUUACAUCUCUUGGGUAAAGUAAGAUAUGGUCUCCUGCUUUGGCUAUGUGGUGAAGAGUCGUAUUACUGCCACAAGCAAAGAAGAUGCUGCGGAAAUCGGCAAGCUGGAUGCAACUCUUCCUACUGAUAGUUAACUUGUGAUGCCUGGAUAACUCAGUACAAAGGCUUUAACUCACCAGUUUUGGUGAUACUUGAAAAUGCAGUUUGACUUAUUGAUCCUUGCAAAGAAAAAAAAAGAAUUAUUACUACUGGAAAGCAGAAUCAAUGGAUUGAAAGUGGAGAAGAUAGGACAGAUACUUCUGUCACACUUACAACUCUUACAUAUCAUAAAUAUCUUUAAGAGCUAGCUGCUAAACAAUCAGACCUCCACAUGCACUGUUAGACGUAACGAACUCCAUGAAUGUGAAAAAAACACCACUAAUAAAAACACUUUUAAAAAAACUUGAGAGAAUCUCUAGAAAUCCCAUUUUCUGGAUGUUGACUAUAGAAUCGCAUUGGAGGACUUACGAGGGCCAAGGUAAGUGUUCACUUUAGGAAUCCCUAAGUCCUUUCAAUACAACUCUACAGUCAACCAGUGGC